rnacentral:rRNA from 1 species
ACUGCUCAGUAACACGUGGAUAACCUGCCCUAAGGAAGGGGAUAACCUCGGGAAACUGAGGAUAAUACCCUAUAGGUUACAGACGCUGGAAUGCCCUGUAACCGAAAGUUCCGGCGCCUUAGGAUGGAUCUGCGGCCGAUUAGGUUGUUGUUGGGGUAACGGCCCAACAAGCCGAUAAUCGGUACGGGUUGUGGGAGCAAGAGCCCGGAGUUGGAUUCUGAGACAUGAAUCCAGGCCCUACGGGGCGCAGCAGGCGCGAAAACUUUACAAUGCGGGAAACCGUGAUAAGGGAACCCCGAGUGCCUGUAUAUGCAGGCUGUCCAGGUGUCUAAAAAACACCUGAAGAAAGGGCCGGGCAAGACCGGUGCCAGCCGCCGCGGUAAUACCGGCGGCUCGAGUGGUGGCCACUUUUAUUGGGCUUAAAGCGUUCGUAGCUGGGUUGUUAAGUCUCUUGGGAAAUCUGACGGCUCAACCGUCAAGCGUCCAAGGGAUACUGGCAAUCUUGGAACCGGGAGAGGUGAGGGGUACUUCGGGGGUAGGAGUGAAAUCCUGUAAUCCUCGAGGGACCACCUGUGGCGAAGGCGCCUCACCAGAACGGCUUCGACAGUGAGGGACGAAAGCUGGGGGAGCAAACCGGAUUAGAUACCCGGGUAGUCCCAGCCGUAAACGAUGCGCGUUAGGUGUAUCGGUGACCACGAGUCACCGAGGUGCCGAAGGGAAACCGUGAAACGUGCCGCCUGGGAAGUACGGUCGCAAGGCUGAAACUUAAAGGAAUUGGCGGGGGAGCAC